UACGUAGGGGGCAAGCGUUGUCCGGAAUCAUUGGGCGUAAAGAGCGUGUAGGCGGCCCGGUAAGUCCGCUGUGAAAGUCCAGGGCUCAACCCUGGGAUGCCGGUGGAUACUGUCGGGCUCGAGUCCGGAAGAGGAGUGUGGAAUUCCUGGUGUAGCGGUGAAAUGCGUAGAUAUCGUAAGGAAGACCAGUGGCGAAGGCGGGUCUCUGGACAGUUCCUGACGCUGAGGCACGAAGGCCAGGGGAGCAAACGGG
rnacentral:rRNA from 1 species